AUCUCCUGCCCCCUCAGCAAGCCUGGAUCCCUAAGAUCAAUGAGGUUUCCAGACUUCCUCCCUCUUUUUGCCCUUCACGAGAGCGCUUUGCUGGGUGCGCAAGUGUGCGUAUGAGGAGCGAAGAGCGCCGGAAGGGUAAGUGGACCCCUUGCUUCAGCCGGGGGGGCAGGAGGAGACCUCCACGUCACCCGAGGAUCAGAGGACUCCUCCGUCGCGCCGGGGGUGGGAUCCCGGGAAGUCUCUUCAGGCUACAGAGAGCGGGGGGAGCCUUCCGGGAUGUGAAUGCUUUGGAAAAGCCCCCUCCACAGCUAGCCCCCUCCACAGCUAGGCACCCUGCCACCUCCGCGCGUGUGUACUUCUGUACGUGUGCGCGAAAAGACAAAGUGUAUGGGAAGGUCAGGCUGGUGAGCUUCCACUGCAGCUCAGAUGGGAAGGAGCAACUUUCAGUGCUCUGUUCUUAGUGGUUUCCUGCCUUUUAAAGUGAACUUGUUCGAGUGUGUUAUUCAAAAUGUGGUUCAGUAGUUAUGCCUUCAAAUUAAGUUGCUUCUCGGUCCUCAUCGGGAAAAGCAGACAUGUGUCCUCAAUUGUAUAGUAUAUAUAUAUAAAACAAAAAUCUACUAGGUACUUUAUGAUUCCAUCUGGAGAAAUUAAAAGCCCAGAGCUGUAAUGUUUAUUCUUACAUAGUUUACAAAAAAAGGGGGAAAUGUGUGAGACACAUGUCUCCAAAUAUAACCAAAGUGCUUUCCCUUCUGGUUAAAAAGUUGCAUGCAAAUGUUUUCAUUUUAACACUCCCUGCCACCUGUACUUUUCAGGGAAACUUUUGUUGGCGUUAGUGAUGAAGCACCAAUAGCACUUAUUAAUGAAUUAAUUAUUAUUAUGGCUGCUGAAUUGACUUUAAGUGCUUUGGAGGCGAAACUGAUCCAUGUUAAUCAGUUACAAUUAAUUGUGUUUCAGCUGCUGUUUCGAACACAGUUGCAAAGACGAAGGCGAGAAGGCUGUGCGUGGGGUGUAGAGAAGAGGGUGAUCCGGAGACUCUUCCCUGCCCACGGCCCCCUUGCUCAGAGAUCUCCUCUUGGGUUGCAGAAACCGGCGAAAUGUUGUCCCGGUGCCCGCGUCAGGUCACACAAAGGAGAUUGGGACAAUAGCUGGAGUGGAUUAUUCAUUCCCGUAGGCAAUACUUCCCUGUAUGGGCUUCAGGAUGCAGUUGGAAGCUUGGGAACAAAGCGGGCGUCGAAUGUCAAGGCUUCUUUUGAGGAAGAAAUAGCUCUGCUGGGACCCCAUGCCUGGACUUUGGAGGGCAUGGCACAGUGGUCUGAUAUGAAAGCACUGUCCCUGCAGAUGGAAACUCUCCUCUGUAUCCUGUGCCUUGCAAGAGAGGCAGUGAGGGGACAUUGAAGUAACCAAGCAUCUGGCAUAAAGCCUGACAAUCCACUUCACACUAUGUGAAGGAAAGUUUGUUCCAAACCGCAUACUUUCUGGUGCUCAGUACUGGUGUCAAACUGGUUUGAACUGUCCCAAGUCUAAAAUAAAGAUCUCCAUUGUGGUAUGGCA
rnacentral:lncRNA from 1 species